UGUGGAUUGUCCUUAUCGGUGUGAUAGUCAUCUAUGCCGUGGUCGUCUGAGGUGGGAUCGGCUUCUAAUGGUGCAAGUCCCUUCAGGGGGAUGAUUUUCUAAUGACCUUCUGACCUCAAAUCAGGUAGGACUACCCGCUGAACUUAAGCAUAUCAAUAAGCGGAGGAAAAGAAACUAACAAGGAUUCCCCUAGUAACUGCGAGUGAAGCGGGAUAAGCUCAAAUUUAAAAUCUGGUGGGUGUUUGGCCUGCCCGAGUUGUAGUCUGGAGAAGUGCUUUCUGUGCUGAACCGUGUACAAGUCUCUUGGAACAGAGCGUCAUAGAGGGUGAGAAUCCCGUCUUUGACACGGACUAUCAGUGCUUUGUGAUGCGCUCUCAAUGAGUCGAGUUGUUUGGGAAUGCAGCUCAAAAUGGGUGGUAAAUUCCAUCUAAAGCUAAAUAUUGGCGAGAGACCGAUAGUGAACAAGUACCGUGAGGGAAAGAUGAAAAGCACUUUGGAAAGAGAGUUAAACAG
rnacentral:rRNA from 1 species